UACAGAGGGGGCAAGCGUUAUUCGGAAUUAUUGGGCGUAAAGGGCGCGUAGGCGGCUUGGCAAGUGGAUGGUGAAAUCCCUCGGCUUAACCGAGGAACUGCCGUCCAAACUGCUUCGCUUGAGACCGGGAGAGGUGAGUGGAAUUCCCAGUGUAGCGGUGAAAUGCGUAGAUAUUGGGAGGAACACCAGUGGCGAAGGCGGCUCACUGGACCGGUACUGACGCUGAGGCGCGAAAGCGUGGGGAGCGAGCAGG
rnacentral:rRNA from 1 species